UUGCACGGGAGAUGUAUCCUUUCUCUUGUUGAUACACAUUUGGAUUGUUUCCAGUUUGGGGGUAUUUUAAAGCUGCUAGGAAAUUCUUGUUCUCAUUUCUAAUUUUUAGCAAGUAAUAUUAACUUGAAUUUGUUUCAUCAGACCUUUAAAAUGCAGGUUUGAACAUUUAGGAAUAUUGUACAGGGAAUGGAUCCACGAGACAUCUGCUUGUUUUUGAUGCAGUGUGAAGAAUGCAUGAUCAUUGCAUUCACAUUGAGUUGAGCUGGAUGGUUGUAAAGAUAUGCUUGGCCACUACUGAAUUACCUAAAAAUUAAUUCGUACCAGGCAGGAGCAACUGUGGCAUUGCCAAGUCUCAUUCCCAGCCCUCAUGUCCUAGAAGAUGAAUGGGAUGGAGCCAGAAGUGAUGUGUAACAUGGGAUGGAAGCAGAAGAUAGAUUCCACUGCUAAAAACUGCAUGGAUUAUGGGAAGUUGGGGAUGAGAGAGGGGAAGGAGUAGCAUCUUGUUCCGUCGGCCUCCUUGAUCUAAGCCUUUGUUGUGAAUUCGUUUUUACCAGAAUGGAACUCGGGGCUGCUGGCACCCCCAUCCAUCUUUGGAGGCCCUGGACAUAAUCGAUGGGGCAGGCAGAAGACCUGCAGCUCCAAGCCUGCUAGUCGGAAGGCAUCUCUCUGCAGGUAUUGGGUUUUCUCUGAGCUCAGCUGCUGCUCUUGGCCUUCUUUCUCCAGUUUCUGUCCUCCUCUACCAGCCUUGAGACUGCAGUGUGGAGAUAUGUCGCCUCUGUUUUGUCUGGGCUGCUUCUGUCUGGGAUGAUGGAAUCCUCACUAAAUGGGAAAUGUUUAUGGAGGAGGAGGGAGAUGGGGAAGUCAUUCCCUCCUGUUAACAUUUCGGCUUAAGUUAGCUUAUUCAUAUGAAUGACACAAAGUCGUAAUUGCUCCUAAUCAAAUCUGUGCACACAGUAAAGCCUCUUUUAUGCAAUGAGUGUUUACUUAAUUGAAUGUUACAUAUAAAUGAAGGUUACUCCUUCAAGUGACAAACGUGAGGGAUUUCAAUGGAAAAUUCUGAAAAUGAGCCCCUGAAGGAGGGAAGAUGGGAGAUGAAAGAUGCUGGAAGAGAACAGAAUGGGGCCAAGACGCUCCAGGAGAGCACCGGGGGAAUCCCAGUUGCUCUUGGGUUU
rnacentral:lncRNA from 1 species